rnacentral:rRNA from 1 species
GAUACUCCUGCAGCGCCGCGUAAUAGGAGCUGCAGCGUUAUCGUAUUACUGGCGUAAGCGCAGCAGUCGUUAUCAAGUCGGAGUGAAUCCCCGGAUCAACGUGGAACUGCAUUAAAACUGGCAGGUAGAGUUUGUAGAGGGGGUAGACUUCCAGGUGUAGCGGUGAAAUCGUAUGAUCGGAGGAAUACCGGGGAGAAGGCGGCCCCUGGACAAAGACGACGCUCAGGUAGAAAGCGGAGGAGCAAACAGGAUUAGAUACCCUGGUAGUCCACGCCGUAAACGAUGUCGACUUGGAGGUUGUGCCCUUGAGGCGUGGCUUCCGGAGCUAACGCGUUAAGUCGACCGCCUGGGGAGUACGGCCGCAAGGUUAAAACUCAAAUGAAUUGACGGGGGCCCGCACAAGCGGUGGAGCAUGUGGUUUAAUUAGAUGCAACGAGAAGAACCUUACCUACUCUUGACAUCCAGAGAAUUUCGCAGAGAUGUUUUGGCGCUUUCGGGAACUAUGAGACAGGUGGUGCAUGGCUGUUGUCAGCUUGUGUUGUGAAAUGUUGGGUUAAGUCCCGCAACGAGCGCAACCCUUCUCUUUUGUUGCCAGCGGUCCGGCCGGGAAUUCAAAGGAGACUGCCAGUGAUAAACUGGAGGAAGGUGGGGAUGACGUCAAGUCAUCAUGGCCCUUACGAGUAGGGUUACACACUUGUUCCAAUGGCGCAUACAAAGAGAAGCGAACUCGCGAGAGCAAGCGGACCUCAUAAACUGAGUUCUAUUCCGGAUUGGAUUUUGCAAUUGGAUUCCAUGAAGUGGGAAUGGUUGGUAAUCGUAGAUCACAAUGCUACGGUGAAUACGUUCCCGGGCCUUGUACACACCGCCCGUCACACCAUGGGAGUGGGUUGCAACAAGAAGCUAGGUAGCA